rnacentral:lncRNA from 1 species
CACAAGCAUUCAAGGGGAUGAGCCAUUCGUAGCUCUGAAGCCUCAUUGGCUGGCAGAAGCAUAAAGAGGCGGUAAUCAUGGAGUUUGGGGCACGAUGUGAGGAGUGCAGCCGAGGGAGUGAAGGGCUACAUAGAAACCUGCCAUCUGUGGCACUGGCUUUUCCUGCAUCACAGUCCCGGGGGCCCUUGUUGAGUCUCUUUCGCUCCUCUCCAUGCUCUCUCUCUCCAUUAUGAUGCUGGGCUUGGAAUCUUGACCCUGCAUAUGCACUCGCUACUUUCUGUUUGAUUUCGACAUUAUUCUUCUGCCUCCCAUUCUUGUGAUCUCUCUCAUUACUGUUCCUGCAGCUAUAGUUGAUGUCAUCUGAGCCAUCGAGUUUGGUUUGAAGGUUUUCUGGCACUCAGGAAAAUAGCCGAACUCCUGACACCUCCGGAAGCCCUUGGUGCUCCCCAGAAGUCCUUGGCAGCCCCUGGAGAUGUUUAUCACACAUCAAAUGUCACAGUGGUUGAGAGCACUUGGAAUCCUGCAAUUGACACAGCUGGAGGAAGUUGGGAGCAACCAAGGCAGGGGGAAACACGGAAAAGCUGGCAAUUAGAAAAGGAAAACACAGCUUUCUUGGCAGGUACUGUUCAGAUGAUACAUGGUAAGAGAUUCCCUGCUCAUUCAUAAGCCCAACU